rnacentral:lncRNA from 1 species
AAAAUACAAAGAAAUGUUUUAAAUUAAUUUAUUUGUUAUUAUUGACAUCUUAGCGAUUAAGAAAGAAUUAAAGAUUAUUUUGUGUGAUUUUUUAGACAAGUAAUAUUUUGAUUUCAUUUUGAUCAUAUUUGUCAAUAUUUAAUUUCCUUUUCGUUUUUUAUUUGACCUAAUUUCUAGUAUAAAUAGGAGUCAAUUUAGAAGGAAAAAAAGGACACUCAAAAACCUCUCUCCCUCUCACGUGUUUUGUUUUGAAAACAACCAUCAACCUUCAGUAAACAAAACCUUAAUCACCUUACCGUCUUCCACCAUCAUCAUCAACUUACAACCAUCAUCAUAAAAUUACCUCACCUUUUUCAAAUUACAAGCCACUUCCCACAACCACCUUUCAACAACAAUCAUAACAUCACAAUAACAACCAAAAUCAUAAACAGAAACCAAAUACAAAAUAGAUGAAGAAGAAAAGAAUUUGAAUUGCAGUCGGCCACCACACACCACCACGCAGAAACCUCUGGUCGUCGCCAUGAAAAAAACUCAAUGACGCCAGAAAUACGUCCAACGGUCACCUCUGACCAUAAAAGUUUCAGAUCUGUCGCCCUCCCUCUUCCACGAAGCCGUCGACCGUGCUCCAGAUUCAUCAAAGAAAUGUACACACGGUAUAACUCUCAUUUUAUUUCCCUUUUCCAUGUUUUUUAUUCUUCUGUAUUUGGUCUAGUUGGAGUUCACGUGUUCCCUUUGUUUUUGGUUAUUAUAAAAAAUGUUUACUCACAUAUAUAAUUUUGUUGUUAUUAUUUUUAAUAAAA